GGAAUNCCNNNNNNUGGCUCAGGGGAGGACGGAACACGUGGNUCCCUUGAUAGUUUUAGGCUGAGGCCCGAGUUACACGUGGGUAACCUGCCUGUAAGACUGGGAUAACUCCCGGAAACCGGGGCUAAUACCGGAUGCUUGUUUGAACCGCAUGGUUCAAACAUAAAAGGUGGCUUCGGCUACCACUUACAGAUGGACCCGCGGCGCAUUAGCUAGUUGGUGAGGUAAUGGCUCACCAAGGCAACGAUGCGUAGCCUACCUGAGAGGGUGAUCGGCCACACUGGGACUGAGACACGGCCCAGACUCCUACGGGAGGCAGCANUAGGGAAUCUUCCGCAAUGGACGAAAGUCUGACGGAGCAACGCCGCGUGAGUGAUGAAGGUUUUCGGAUCGUAAAGCUCUGUUGUUAGGGAAGAACAAGUACCGUUCGAAUAGGGCGGUACCUUGACGGUACCUAACCAGAACGCCACGGCUAACUACGUGCCAGCAGCCGCGGUAAUACGUAGGUGGCAAGCGUUGUCCGGAAUUAUUGGGCGUAAAGGGCUCGCAGGCGGUUCCUUAAGUCUGAUGUGAAAGCCCCCGGCUCAACCGGGGAGGGUCAUUGGAAACUGGGGAACUUGAGUGCAGAAGAGGAGAGUGGAAUUCCACGUGUAGCGGUGAAAUGCGUAGAGAUGUGGAGGAACACCAGUGGCGAAGGCGACUCUCUGGUCUGUAACUGACGCUGAGGAGCGAAAGCGUGGGGAGCGAACAGGAUUAGAUACCCUGGUAGUCCACGCCGUAAACGAUGAGUGCUAAGUGUUAGGGGGUUUCCCGCCCCUUAGUGCUGCAGCUAACGCAUUAGCACUCCGCCGGGGAGUACGGUCGCAGGACUGAAACUCAAAGGAAUUUGACGGGGGCCCGCACAGCGGUGGAGCAUGUGGUUUUAUUUCGANCAACGCGAACAACCUUACAGGUCCUUGACAUCCUCUGACAAUCCUNGAGAUUAGGACUCCCCCUUCGG
rnacentral:rRNA from 1 species